AACUAUAUGCAUACUUUAUAUUUAUUAGCACUUUUUCUCAAUUUGGGUGCAAUGAACAAAAACAGCAAAGAUCGUAAACAGCAAUUUCUCAUGUAGAUGUCAAGGCCGUCUCGAAUAAAAACUUUUAUACGGCAUCCUGUUGUAUUCACAAUACCGGUGAUCUACGGCAACAAAAGUUUGUAAAAUUUUGGAUACAAGUCAUCCAGACGACGGUCAUUUUAUUUUACACUGGGCAUGGACAACACUGUCGUUAUCGAUAGUAAGUUGUAUGAGGAGUAUACGUUAAAAUGGACUCGUCCAACCCAUUUACAGUAGGUCUCACCUUGAGACGUAAUCC